CAGCAGCCGCGGUAAUACGUAGGGUGCGAGCGUUAAUCGGAAUUACUGGGCGUAAAGCGUGCGCAGGCGGUUAUAUAAGACAGAUGUGAAAUCCCCGGGCUCAACCUGGGACCUGCAUUUGUGACUGUAUAGCUAGAGUACGGUAGAGGGGGAUGGAAUUCCGCGUGUAGCAGUGAAAUGCGUAGAUAAGCGGAGGAACACCGAUGGCGAAGGCAAUCCCCUGGACCUGUACUGACGCUCAUGCACGAAAGCGUGGGGAGCAAACAGGAUUAGAUACCCGGGUAGUCCCUGUCUCUUAUAC
rnacentral:rRNA from 1 species